rnacentral:tRNA from 1 species
GCCCUCGUGGUGAAAUGGAUAUCACUACUGGCUUCGGACCAGUCAUUGGGGGUUCGAAUCCCUCCGAGGGCA